rnacentral:tRNA from 1 species
CAGGAAGUAGUUUAAUUAGAACGCCAGCUUUGGGGGUUGGCGGUGGGGGAGGUGUCCCCUCUUCUUGA